AAAUGACGGUUAUCUGUUCCUCUUUACUGGUUGCUGCUAUCAUGGGUGCCCCUGGCUGAGAUUGGCUGGGCGACAGAAGCGCAAAAUGGUGCAAAACUUGGAAUGACUCCC